rnacentral:rRNA from 1 species
GCCUACGGCCAUACCACCCUGAGAACACGUCUGACCUCAGAAGCUAAGGAGAGACAGGCCCAGUUAGUACCUCCUCGAAAUACCGGGUGCUGUAGGCU